rnacentral:rRNA from 1 species
UACAGAGGUCCCGAGCGUUGUUCGGAUUCAUUGGGCGUAAAGGGUGCGUAGGCGGCGGGGCCAGUCUGAUGUGAAAUCCCGGGGCUCAACCCCGGAACUGCAUUGGAUACUGCCUUGCUAGAGUACUGGAGAGGGAACUGGAAUUUACGGUGUAGCAGUGAAAUGCGUAGAGAUCGUAAGGAAGGCCGGUGGCGAAGGCGAGUUCCUGGACAGUUACUGACGCUGAGGAGCGAAAGCGUGGGGAGCGAACAGG